rnacentral:rRNA from 1 species
GAUGAACGCUGGCGGCGUGCCUAAUAUAUGCAAGUCGAGCGAACAGACGAGGAGCUUGCUCCUCUGACGUUAGCGGCGGACGGGUGAGUAACACGUGGAUAACCUACCUAUAAGACUGGGAUAACUUCGGGAAACCGGAGCUAAUACCGGAUAAUAUAUUGAACCGCAUGGUUCAAUAGUGAAAGACGGUUUUGCUGUCACUUAUAGAUGGAUCCGCGCCGCAUUAGCUAGUUGGUAAGGUAACGGCUUACCAAGGCGACGAUGCGUAGCCGACCUGAGAGGGUGAUCGGCCACACUGGAACUGAGACACGGUCCAGACUCCUACGGGAGGCAGCAGUAGGGAAUCUUCCGCAAUGGGCGAAAGCUUGACGGAGCAACGCCGCGUGAGUGAUGAAGGUCUUCGGAUCGUAAAACUCUGUUAUUAGGGAAGAACAAAUGUGUAAGUAACUAUGCACGUCUUGACGGUACCUAAUCAGAAAGCCACGGCUAACUACGUG